rnacentral:rRNA from 1 species
AGUUAACGUUGGCGGCGUGCCUAACACAUGCAAGUCGAACGCGUCCUAAGGGCAACUUUAGGAUGAGUGGCGAACGGGUGAGUAUCACGUGGGUAAUCUUCCUUUAAGUGGGGAAUAAGCUCUCGAAAGGGAGUCUAAUACCGCAUGACAUUCCGGGACACAAGUCCCGUAAUCAAAGCCGCAAGGCGCUUGAAGAUGAGCCUGCGUCCUAUUAGCUAGUUGGUGGGGUAACGGCCUACCAAGGCUCAGAUGGGUAGCCGGCCUGAGAGGGUGAACGGCCACACUGGGACUGAGACACGGCCCAGACUCCUACGGGAGGCAGCAGUGAGGAAUUUUGCGCAAUGGGGGAAACCCUGACGCAGCGACGCCGCGUGGAGGAUGAAGGCCUUCGGGUCGGUAAACUCCUGUCAGAGGUGAAGAAUGCCGCAAGGUUGACGGUAACCUCAGAGGAAGCCCGGCUAACUACGUG